CAGGUGAAAAGCUUUGGAUGAGGAGAAAAAUCCAGAGACCUACAUACGAAGACUCCUCCAAUUGCUAAAUCAUAGGAAGUUAAGAAAAAGAAACGUCACUGCGAAAGAGUUUGAAAGUUAUAAAUGCUAAGCUUCCACAACGUAACUGCCUCAAAUUAAGUGCUUGAAGAUGCAUUGACAGGAGGAAAUACAACACCAUGAUGUCUAUGCUGAUGAUGAUCAAUUCGUUUGUCACAUAAAAAGACGAAGAAUGUGAGGAGGUGGUGCGUUAGUGCAAGAGUGGAGAGAAUGAAAGUGUUGUAAGUUUUGUUAGUAGUUUGGUCGGAAAAACCAGUUAAA